AGAGUUUGAUCCUGGCUCAGGACGAACGCUGGCGGCGUGCUUAACACAUGCAAGUCGAGCGAUGAAGUUUCUUCGGAAAUGGAUUAGCGGCGAACGGGUGAGGAACACGUGAAGAAUCUGCCCUCCACUUUGGGAUAACACCGGGAAACCGGUGCUAAUACCGAAUAUUGAAACAUAAGUGGCAUCACUGAGUUUUGAAAGAAUUUUGGUGGAGGAUGACUUCGCGGCCUAUCAGCUAGUUGGUGAGGUAAUGGCUCACCAAGGCAACGACGGGUAGCCGGCCUGAGAGGGCGACCGGCCACACUGGGACUGAGACACGGCCCAGACUCCUACGGGAGGCAGCAGUGGGGAAUAUUGGGCAAUGGAGGCAACUCUGACCCAGCGACGCCGCGUGCGGGAUGAAGGCCUUCGGGUUGUAAACCGCUUUCAGUAGGGAAGAAGCGAAAGUGACGGUACCUACAAAAGAAGCACCGGCUAACUAUGUGCCAGCAGCCGCGGUAAUACAUAGGGUGCAAGCGUUGUCCGGAAUUAUUGGGCGUAAAGAGCUCGUAGGUCGUUUGUUACGUCGGAUGUGAAAACCUGAGGCUCAACCUCAGGCCUGCAUUCGAUACGGGCAAACUAGAGUUUGGUAGGGGAGACUGGAAUUCCUGGUGUAGCGGUGGAAUGCGCAGAUAUCAGGAGGAACACCAAUGGCGAAGGCAGGUCUCUGGGCCAAUACUGACACUGAGGAGCGAAAGUCUGGGGAGCGAACAGGAUUAGAUACCCUGGUAGUCCAGACCGUAAACGGUGGGCACUAGUUGUGGGAACCUUCCACGGUUUCUGCGACGCAGCUAACGCAUUAAGUGCCCCGCCUGGGGAGUACGAUCGCAAGAUUAAAACUCAAAGGAAUUGACGGGGCCCCGCACAAGCAGCGGAG
rnacentral:rRNA from 1 species